rnacentral:lncRNA from 1 species
AUCCAAUUAGCUUGAGAGAAACGUUCACUCUUGCUUAUGUGAAGCUUGGGUAAGGUGAGGAUACGAUAAUUCUAUUUUAUUUUCAUUAAAUUCGAGCUUUGAGUAUUAAAUUGGGUAUAUAUGUAUUAUGAAUGUGUAUUAGGUUGAAAAUAAAUAAUUGGAGCUUGAAAUUGUGAAUACUGGAACUUGGAGGAAGCGGAUUAGUUGAGUUUUGAGGGGUUGUCUUGGUUUUGAAUAAAUAGCUUUGGUCGUUACGUGGAAAUCGGCUAAGGUAUGGUUUAGGUUUCUUGCAUUUAAUAUAUAAUGUUCUGUGAAAACUUAAGCUAGACGGCCAUAGGAUAAGUUGGAAUGCAGGUGUAUGUUUAAUGUUUAGUAAUUUGUCGAUGAAUAUAUUUGGUUGAAGUUUAUUGGAUAAUUAGUUAUUAAUCUUGGAUGGUGAAUGUUAUUGUUGAUGAACAUGGUUGGUUUACUGCUAAUGAUUUGGUGAAUUAAUGAUUUGAGAUAUUUUGUGUUAGAAGCCUAGGAUUAGUGAACUAUGAUCCUUAGUUGAAUUUUGGUUGUUGGAUUUGAAUAUUGUAUGAAUAUAAUUGUUAAUCUGAAGUAGAUUUAUUGUGGUGACUGUUAUGAUGAUGAGGAAGGGUAUGUUGAAUUGAAAAGAAAGCAGGUUUGGACCCGGAAAGGGUGGCAAAGUCCGAGUUUUAGAGGAGAUGCUGCCGAAAUUUUAUAAAAAAUUAGAAAUUUUGUUUAUAUGAUUAUUUAAAAAGAUUUAGAUUCAAAGGUUAUAUGUUUUGAUUUUGAGUUAUUAAGAAAAUGAGCAUGUUUUAAGUUUGAUUCAUUUAGAAAAGAAUGAAUUAUGUUUUGAAUUGGAACUAUUGAUGGACGGAAUAGGAGGUGUGAUAAUGAAGGAUAAGGAUUGAAUAUGAUUGAUGUAUGAUGAUGAAUGAAAUGUGAUUGAGAAUGAUGUUGAUGUUGAUGAAUUAUAAUUGAAUUAUUUAUAUGCCUUGUGAAUUUGAAUAAUCUGAGAUACGAGAUUCCCUGGAUUAAGUGCCGUGGCUUGCCACCACGUGUACCAGGUUGAAAACUCGAUACUCUGUUGGCCCUACGACGUAAGUGUGUGACCGGGCACUAUAUAAAUUCCCAGGAAUGUUACCCUCAUUGAGUAUUAUUGAUUAAUUGAGAACAAACUAUGCAUAGACUCUUGGGGAUGCACGUCGGGGGACAGUCUAAGUACAAUUCAGACUUGUCGGGUUGGCUGGAUAACCGACAGAUGAGCCUCAUCAGCCAUAGGACAGGCAUGCAUGAUAUGCAUAUUACUUGAAUUACUUGCUUGUGCUCUAAUUGGGUGUGCCUAUCUGUAUUUGCCAUGCUAAAUGUAUAUUUGUUAUCUACAGUACUUGUAACCUUCUUGUGUUUACCUUUGUCUAUUUAGUUGUCUGUGAAAAUGCAGGAUGGAGUUGGAGGUAUGGAGGAAUGGCAGUAUGGGAUUUAGAUUUAAGGUUAAGUUAAGUUAGGAUUAAAUAUUUUUAGAGAACCACCCUUUAUGGCUUCUGUUUAAUACUUUAAGCUCUAUAAUCUGAGUGUCGGUGUUCUAGGAUUGCCUCUGGCAUUCCCAGGACCUUAUAUAUUAUGUGUGUGGCACCUUUACCAUACUGAUAACCUCCGGUUCUCAUUCCAUACUAUGUUGUUAUUUUUCAGAUGUAGGUCGAGAGGCAUCUCGUUAGGCGUCUGGACUCUUUAAGCGGAGUGGUUACUGGAUAUUUUGUUAUGCUAUGAUGUAUAUAUAUGUACUUAGUUUUCUCUCCGCAUGACUUAUUCUUUUUGAUCCUCUUAGAGGUUUAUGGAGAGGCAGGAUUGUGUAUAUGUACUUUUGGGUUUUGGAUUGAGGUAGAGGUAGGACAGGCACCGUUACUCCUGCUCCCAUAGGGACUGAUCCAGUAGACUUUAUGGCUGCCCUGGGAAAUAUGGCUGCAGUUAUGCAGGCAACAGCCGAGGCAUUGGGUAAUCAGAUAAAUCAGGGUAAUCAUGGGAACAAUAAUGAUGAGGACGGUCUUAUGACGCUUGCUACAUUUCUGAAAGUUCACCCUCCAACCUUUAGGGGAACCUCAAAUCCCACUGAUGCAGAUAAUUGGAUUCAGGCUAUGGAAAGGGCAUUACAGGCACAACAGGUUCCUGAAGAGCAAUGGGUUGAAUUUGGAACUUAUCAGUUGCAAGGUGAAGCUCAGUAUUGGUGGUAGGGAACACGACGUAUCCUGCAGCCUGAUGGUGCUGCGAUUCCUUCGGAGGUUUUCCAGACAGAGUUCUAUAAGAAAUACUUUCCUAAUUCAGCUAGAAAUGCCAAGGAACUUGAAUUAAUGCAGUUAAAGCAGGGACAGAUGACUGUUGCUGAGUAUACCAGUAAAUUUGAGGAGUUAUGUCGCUUUUCUCGUAUCUGUCAAGGUGCGCCUGAAGAUUUUGCUGAAUGGAAGUGUAUUAAAUAUGAAGGAGGUCUUCGGAGCGAUAUUCUGAGCUUCGUUGCCCCAAUGGAGAUCAGGGUGUUUUCUGAAUUGGUGAAUAAGAGUAGGGUGGCUGAGGAUUGUGUGAGGAAGGCGGCAGCAGAGAAAGGGAAUUUGGGGGUGCCUUUUCAGAGGCCUUCAGGGAGGAAUUUUGCUCCGAGAGGUAGGAAUUUCAAGCGUGGAGGUUUUGUUCCGCAGCAGACUCAAGGUCAAGGUAAUUACAGAAGGCCGAAUACUAAUGCUAGUCAAGGAAAAAGGUUUGGGAAGCAGCCACAGCAAGAUCUGAAUUGUCAGAAGUGCGGAAGGUAUCACCCUGGAGUUCCGUGCAAAUUCGGACUUGGAGUAUGCUAUUCUUGUGGACAGCCCGGGCAUAUGGCCACCAAUUACCCGGAGAAGAAGAAGUAUGAGACUGGUAGGGUGCAGCAGCCGGGGAGAGUAUACACCACUUCUACCAUAGGUGCUGAGGGAUCUGAGACACUGAUUAGAGGUAAUUGUGAAAUGGCUGGUAAAAUCUUAAAUGCUUUAUUUGAUUCAAGUGCAAGUCAUUCAUUUAUUACAUUUGAAAAGGCCCAUGAAUUAGGAUUGAGAAUGGUGGUUUUAGGUUAUGAUUUGAAAGUAUAUAAUGCUACUCAUGAAGCUAUGGUGACUAGGAUAGGAUGUCCACAAGUUCCCUUUCGAGUACAACAGCGUGAAUUUGUGCAUGAUUUGAUUUGUUUGCCUAUGACUGGUCUUGAUCUCAUUUUGGGAUUGGAUUGGUUAUCCAAGAAUCAUGUUUUACUUGAUUGUUCUGAAAAGUCAGUACAGUUUAUGCCGGAAGGGUCAGAAGCACCGGUUGUGGUGAAUAGUUACUAUUUGAAUUCUAUGAUAGUAAACUGUUCUGGAACCGAAUGUCAGGGUAUUAUGUUAUUAACUGCGGGAGUAUCAGGUGAUGAUCAGAGUUUAGAACAAAUUCCAGUUGUAUGUGAAUUUCCAGAUGUGUUUCCGGAUGAUAUUAAUGAAUUUCCACCUAACCGAGAGGUUGAAUUUGCAAUUGAGUUGGUACCUGGAUCCGGUCCAAUUUCAAUUACUCCUUAUAGGAUGUCGCCUUUAGAAAUGGCUGAACUGAAGGCUCAGCUGGAAGAUCUGUUGGGUAAGCAUUUUAUCUGACCAAGUGUUUCUCCGUGGGGAGCGCCAGUGUUACUGGUAAAGAAGAAGGAUGGGAGUAUGCGGCUGUGUGUCGAUUAUCGGCAAUUGAAUAAGAUCACUGUGAAGAAUAAAUAUCCGUUGCCUAGAAUCGAUGAUCUAAUGGAUCAGUUACAGGGUGCCGGUGUGUUUUCUAAGAUUGACCUGCGAUCCGGAUAUCAUCAGAUAAGGGUUAGAGACAAGGAUAUUCCGAAAACUGCUUUCAGAACCCGUUAUGGUCAUUAUGAGUAUACAGUGAUGUCUUUCAGGUUAACUAAUGCCCCGGCAGUAUUUAUGGAUUAUAUGAACAGGAUUUUUCGACCGUAUCUGGACAAGUUUAUUAUUGUCUUCAUUGAUGACAUUCUUGUUUAUUCUAAGACUGAAGAGGAGCAUGCUGAUCACUUGCGAAAUGUGCUGCAAAUUCUGAGAGAUAGGAAGUUAUAUGCUAAGUUAUCUAAAUGUGAGUUCUGGAAGAGUGAAGUGAAGUUUCUCAGUCACGUGGUGAGUAAGCAGGGGAUAGCUGUGGAUCCUGCUAAGGUGGAAGCAGUGAUGAAUUGGGAGCGACCAAUUUCAGUGACAGAGAUCAGAAGUUUCUUAGGUUUGGCGGGGUAUUAUCGCAGAUUCAUUAAGGGAUUUUCACAGCUCGCCUUACCUUUAACUAAAUUGACUAGGAAGGAUACACCUUUUAUCUGGACUCCGGAAUGUGAAGAGAGUUUCCAGGCAUUGAAGCACAGGUUGACUACUGCACCUGUAUUGGUAUUACCUGAACCAAGUGAACCAUUUGAAGUGUAUUGUGAUGCAUCUCUAAAAGGUUUGGGGUGUGUUCUGAUGCAGCACCAGAAUGUUGUAGCAUACGCCUCACGGCAGUUAAGGCCGCAUGAGAUGAACUACCCGACACACGAUUUAGAACUUGUUGCUGUUGUGUUUUCUUUAAAAAUUUGGAGGCACUACCUCUAUGGUGUUAAGUUUCUUGUUUUCUCAGACCAUAAGAGUUUGAAGUAUCUUUUUGAGCAGAAAGAGUUGAAUAUGCGUCAGAGGAGGUGGAUGGAGCUUCUGAAAGAUUAUGAUUUUGAAUUGAAUUAUCAUCCAGGAAAAGCAAACGUUGUGGCGGACACUUUGAGUCGAAAGUCUUUAUAUGCAGCUUGGAUGAUGCUACGGGAGGAAGAGUUACUGAAGGCAUUCCAAGGUUUGAAUUUGGGAGUUAGAGAAGAAUCUGGAAUCCUGUGUUUGAGUCAGUUGCAAAUUUCUAGUGAUUUUAAAUCAGAACUUCUGAAGGCUCAUCAAGACAGUGAAGCGUUACGUAAGGUAUUACCAACAGUCGAACAGGGGAAACAGUGGAGAGUGUCAGAAGGACAGGAUGGUUUGUGGAGGUUUAAGAACCGGAUUAUUGUGCCAGAUAUUGGAGACCUGCGACAGAGAAUCUUGAAGGAUGCUCAUAAGAGAGGGUUUUCAAUUCACCCAGGGAGCACUAAAAUGUAUCAGGAUCUGAAAGCGAUGUUCUGGUGGCCAGGUAUGAAGAAUGAUGUGGCAUUGCAUGUAUCUAAAUGUUUAACGUGUCAGAAGGUUAAGAUUGAGCAUCAGAGACCAUCAGGGAUCCUUCAGCCUUUGGAGAUUCCACAAUGAAAAUGGGAGAGUAUUGCAAUGGAUUUUGUGAUAGGUUUGCUUAGAACCCGAUCUGGUUGUGACGCUAUUUGGGUGGUUGUGGAUCGACUAACAAAAUCAACUCACUUUCUUCCUAUCCGAAUAAGUUGCACAAUGGAGGAAUUGGCUCGAAUGUAUAUCAAAGAGAUUGUCAGAUUACAUGGUGUGCCCUCUACUAUUAUAUCUGAUAGAGAUCCCCGUUUUACAUCAAGGUUCUGGGGAGCUUUUCAGCGUGCAUUUGGGACUCAGUUAAGCUUGAGUACUGCAUAUCACCCUCAGACAGAUGGUCAAUCAGAAAGAACUAUUCAGACCUUGGAGGAUAUGUUAAGGGCUUGUGUUUUAGACCAGCCGACGAGCUGGGAUCGGUAUAUGCCAUUAAUAGAAUUUGCUUAUAAUAAUAGCUAUCAUGCGAGCAUCGGAAUGGCUCCAUAUGAGGCUCUGUAUGGCAUAAAAUGUCAGUCUCCACUAUGUUGGUAUGAAACUGGAGAAAGGAGUUUAUUAGGGCCUGAAAUGAUAGCUGAAACGACUGAGCAGAUAAAGAAGAUUCGUAGUCGAAUGCUUAUAGCCCAAAGCCACCAGAAGAGCUAUGCUAAUCAGAGGUGAAAGCCUUUGGAAUUCGAAGAAGGAGAACAUGUCUUUCUGAAAGUUACACCAACCACUGGCGUGGGAAGAGCUAUUAAGACCAAGAAACUGAAUCCUCGUUAUAUUGGAUCGUUUGAGAUUCUCAAGAGAAUUGGACCAGUGGCUUAUAGAAUUGCCUUACCGCCGUACCUUUCGAAUUUGCACGAUGUAUUUCAUGUAUCACAGCUUCAGAAGUAUACUCCUGAUGCAAGUCAUGUUCUAGAACCAGAACCAAUCGAAGUGAGAGAAGAUCUAACACUUCCAGUAGCCCCGGUAAGAAUUGAUGACACCAGUGUUAAACGAUUACGAGGAAGGGAAGUAUCAUUGGUAAAAAUAGCUUGGAGUCGAGCUGGUAUCGAGGAACAUACCUGGGAGCUCGAAUCAGAUAUGCGAAAGGACUAUCCAAAUCUCUUUUCAGGUAACUAGAUUUGAAUUUUGAGGGCAAAAUUCUUUAUUAGGUGGGUAGGAUGUAAACCCCGGUUAAAUUAGUUAAUAAAUUAGUUUUUAAUAAGGAGGAUUAGAAAUGCGAAUAUUAUAUCAAAAUAGGGUAGAGCUCAUCGAAACGAGAAUUUUGACACUAAUUUUGAAGAAAACGGUCCAAGAUUGGACCGAAAGUACCGAACUGGUUGAACCGGACCCGAACCGGGUUGUCGGUUCAACCGGACCAGCCCUAUUAAAUGAACCCAGCUUUGUCUUCUCCCCCAUUACUGCAGCAACGAAGCUUUCAGCUUCCAGGGAGAAGAGAAACGAGAAACAUUCCCGUAACCCUCACGUUAAUUUCCGAUCCCCGUAACUUCUCCGUCCAAGCUCUAAUCGCUGCACCGUUUGCGGCCACGCGUUCACUGCGUCGAGCUCUACAUUUCUAUCGGAACAAUUUCAUAAGUAACUUAUUUAAUCACUCUCAGCUUCAUCUUCCCCCAAUUUUCGAAUUUUAAGUGGGAAUAUUGAAUUUCUUUGAUUUCUGAUGUUUUAGGAUCCAAUUAGCUUGAAGAUAACUGACAGAUGAGCCUCAUCAGCCAUAGGACAAGCAUGCAUCAUAUGCAUAUUACUUGAAUUACUUGCUUGUGCUCUAAUUGGGUGUGCCUAUCUGUAUUUGCCAUGCUAAAUGUAUAUUUGUUAUCUGCAGUACUUGUAACCUUCUUGUAUUUGCCUUUGUCUGUUUAGUUGUCUGUGAAAAUGCAUGAUGGAGUUGGAGGUAUGGAGGAAUGGCAGUAUGGGAUUUAGAUUUAAGGUUAAGUUAAGUUAGGAUUAAAUAUUUUUAGAGAACUACCCUUUAUGGCUUCUGUUUAAUACUUUAAGCUCUAUAAUCUGAGUGUCGGUGUUCUAGGAUUGCCUCUGGCAUUCCCAGGACCUUAUAUAUUAUGUGUGUGGCACCUUUACCAUACUGAGAACCUCCGGUUCUCAUUCCAUACUAUGUUGUUAUUUUUCAGAUGCAGGUCGAGAGGCAUCUCGUUAGGCGUCUGGACUCUUGAAGCGGAGUGGUUACUGGGAUAUUUUGUUAUGCUAUGAUGUAUAUAUAUGUACUUAGUUUUCUCUCCACAUGACUUAUUCUUUUUGAUCCUCUUAGAGGUUUAUGGAGAGGCAGGAUUGUGUAUAUGUACUUUUGGGUUUUGGAUAUGUAUGUAUAUAUGUGUAAAUAUUCUCCGGCCAGUCUUGACUUCGCAGGCUGAGUUAGGAGCUUGAUAUUUUGUAUCUUUGGCACUCUAUUCCCAC